AACUCACUGGCGCAAUGGAUAGCGCACCGGACUUCUACACGUGUGAUCCGGGGGUUGUGGGUUCAAGUCCCACGUGAGUUG
rfam:Aureococcus anophagefferens unplaced genomic scaffold ATRANscaffold_24, whole genome shotgun sequence.